rnacentral:rRNA from 1 species
CCUACGGGAGGCAGCAGUGGGGAAUAUUGCGCAAUGGGCGAAAGCCUGACGCAGCGACGCCGCGUGAGGGAUGAAGGUCUUCGGAUCGUAAACCUCUGUCAGCAGGGAAGAACGGUCACUGUGCUAAUCAGCAGUGAAUUGACGGUACCUGCAAAGGAAGCACCGACUAACUCCGUGCCAGCAGCCGCGGUAACACGGAGGGUGCGAGCGUUAAUCGGAAUUACUGGGCGUAAAGCGCUCGUAGGCGGUAUGUCAAGUCAAGGGUGAAAGCCCCGCGCUCAACGUGGGAACUGCCUUUGAAACUGGCAAACUGGAGUGUGUGAGAGGAUAGUGGAAUGCCAGGUGUAGGAGUGAAAUCCGUAGAUAUCUGGAGGAACAUCAGUGGCGAAGGCGACUAUCUGGCACAUAACUGACGCUGAGGAGCGAAAGCGUGGGUAGCAAACAGGAUUAGAUACCCCAGUAGUC